rnacentral:rRNA from 1 species
GAUGAACGCUGGCGGCGUGCCUAAUACAUGCAAGUAGAACGCACAGUUUAUGCCGUAGCUUGCUACACCAUAAACUGUGAGUUGCGAACGAGUGAGUAACGCGUAGGUAACCUGCCUGGUAGCGGGGGAGAACUAUUGGAAACGAUAGCUAAUACCGCAUGAUAUUGAUUAUUGCAUGAUAAUUGAUUGAAAGAUGCUAUUGCAUCACUACCAGAUGGACCUGCGUUGUAUUAGCUAGUAGGUGAGGUAACGGCGAAACUAGGCGACGAUACAUAUCCGACCUGAGAGGGUGAUCCGCCACACUGGGACUGAGACCCGGCCCAGACUCCUACGGGACGCAGCCGUAGGGAAUCUUCGGACAAGGACGAAAGUCUGAACGAGCAACGCCGCGUGAGUGAAGAAGGUUUUCGGAUCGUAAAGCUCUGUUGUAAGAGAAGAACGGGUGUGAGAGUUGAAAGUUCACACUGUGACGGUACCUUACCAGAAAGCGACGGCUAACUACGUG